rnacentral:lncRNA from 1 species
CGCGUUUCGUCUACAUAAGACUCAUCAGUGACGCUCAGAUCAAAACAGUUAAAAAGCCAAACAAAUACAAAGUUGAAGAGCAUUGAGGACCCAAAAUUUCAAAAAGUUGUGCCAAAUACGGCUAAGGUAAUCUACUCCUGGGCGUAAGAAAAUCCUUAGAUUUUCGAAAAAUUCAAAGUUUUGUAAACAGAAAAUUUAUAAAAAUGACCAUAUAAUUGAUAUUCAUGUCAACACCGAAGUGCUGACUACUGGGCUGGUGAUACCCUCGGGGACGAAACGUCCACCAGCAGUGGCAUCGACCCAGUGGUGUAAAUAGUUAUCAAAGGUACCAGGAUUAUAAUUUAAUACGCCAGACGCGCGUUUCGUCUACAUAAGACUCAUCAGUGACGCUCAGAUCAAAACAGUUAAAAAGCCAAACAAAUACAAAGUUGAAGAGCAUUGAGGACCCA